ACUCCUACGGGAGGCAGCAGUGGGGAAUAUUGCACAAUGGGGCAGCCAAGCCUGAUGCAGCCAUGCCGCGUGUGUGAAGAAGGCCUUCGGGUUGUAAAGCACUUUCAGUCGUGAGGAGUAGUGUAGUUAAUAGCUGCAUUUAUUGACGUUAGCGACAGAAGAAGCACCGGCUAACUCCGUGCCAGCAGCCGCGGUAAUACGGAGGGUGCGAGCGUUAAUCGGAAUUACUGGGCGUAAAGCGCAUGCAGGUGGUUUGUUAAGUCAGAUGUGAAAGCCCGGGGCUCAACCUCGGAAUUGCAUUUGAAACUGGCAGACUAGAGUACUGUAGAGGGGGGUAGAAUUUCAGGUGUAGCGGUGAAAUGCGUAGAGAUCUGAAGGAAUACCGGUGGCGAAGGCGGCCCCCCU
rnacentral:rRNA from 1 species